GUCGAGGGGAAACGGCAUUAAGUGCUUGCACUUUUUGGACGUCGACCGGCGCACGGGUGAGUAACGCGUAUCCAACCUUCCCAUGACUAAGGGAUAACCUGCCGAAAGGCAGACUAAUACCUUAUGGUCUUCACUGACGGCAUCAGAUGUGAAGUAAAGAUUUAUCGGUUAUGGAUGGGGAUGCGUCUGAUUAGCUUGUUGGCGGGGUAACGGCCCACCAAGGCAACGAUCAGUAGGGGUUCUGAGAGGAAGGUCCCCCACAUUGGAACUGAGACACGGUCCAAACUCCUACGGGAGGCAGCAGUGAGGAAUAUUGGUCAAUGGGCGAGAGCCUGAACCAGCCAAGUAGCGUGCAGGAYGACGGCCCUAUGGGUUGUAAACUGCUUUUGUAUGGGGAUAAAGUCAAUCACGUGUGAUUGUUUGCAGGUACCAUACGAAUAAGGACCGGCUAAUUCCGUGCCAGCAGCCGCGGUAAUACGGAAGGUCCGGGCGUUAUCCGGAUUUAUUGGGUUUAAAGGGAGCGUAGGCUGGAGAUUAAGUGUGUUGUGAAAUGUAGACGCUCAACGUCUGACUUGCAGCGCAUACUGGUUUCCUUGAGUACGCACAACGUUGGCGGAAUUCGUCGUGUAGCGGUGAAAUGCUUAGAUAUGACGAAGAACUCCGAUUGCGAAGGCAGCUGACGGGAGCGCAACUGACGCUGAAGCUCGAAGGUGCGGGUAUCGAACAGGAUUAGAUACCCUGGUAGUCCGCACAGUAAACGAUGGAUGCCCGCUGU
rnacentral:rRNA from 1 species